rnacentral:rRNA from 1 species
GACGAACGCUGGCGGCGUGCUUAACACAUGCAAGUCGAACGAUGAACCCGGAGCUUGCUCCGGUGGAUUAGUGGCGAACGGGUGAGGAACACGUGAGUAACCUGCCCUUGACUCUGGGAUAACUGCGGGAAACUGUAGCUAAUACCGGAUACGACCCUCGGCGGCAUCGCCAGGGGGUGGAAAGAAUUUCGGUCAAGGAUGGACUCGCGGCCUAUCAGCUAGUUGGUGAGGUAACGGCUCACCAAGGCGACGACGGGUAGCCGGCCUGAGAGGGUGACCGGCCACACUGGGACUGAGACACGGCCCAGACUCCUACGGGAGGCAGCAGUGGGGAAUAUUGCACAAUGGGCGAAAGCCUGAUGCAGCAACGCCGCGUGAGGGAUGCCGGCCUUCGGGUUGUAAACCUCUUUUAGUAGGGAAGAAGCGAAAGUGACGGUACCUGCAGAAAAAGCACCGGCUAACUACGUGCCAGCCGCCGCCGUAA